UCCUCUCCAUCAUCAUCUUCCUUUCCGUUUCAAUCGUCCUCUCACUUUCUCCCUCUUCCUUUCUCCCCUUCAAUCCUUCUACAGCCACUGCAAUUUUACCACCACCGCCGCCGUCGAAUUCCACAUCGACUCUGUUUCCGUUCUGCUCCCGGACUGGGAGGUUCUCGUGAUCGUGUCACAACAGGACACUCCAUCAUUGCCGCUGGAGGAAUCCAUUCAAUCACGGGAAGAAGAAGAAUUCAUCUGCGAAGAGGAG
rnacentral:lncRNA from 1 species